rfam:Rhodotorula graminis WP1 unplaced genomic scaffold RHOBAscaffold_3, whole genome shotgun sequence.
GGCCGCGUGGCCCAAUGGCAAGGCGUCUGACUACGACCUCGCUUCGUCUUCCGAACUCCGGAGACAGCGCGCGUAACUAUCAGGAGAUCGUGGGUUCGAGCCCCAUCGUGGUCA